GGGCGCGUGGUGGAACAGGUAGACACGCUGGCUUUAGGUGCCAGUGCCUCACGGCAUGAGAGUUCGAGUCUCUCCGCGCCCA
rnacentral:tRNA from 1 species